rnacentral:rRNA from 1 species
UACGUAGGGGGGCUAGCGUUGUCCGGAUUAUUGGGCGUAAAGAGCGUGUAGGCGGCCAAGUAGGUCCGGUGUGAAAACUCGAGGCUUAACCUCGAGAUGUCAUCGGAAACCAUUUGGCUAGAGUCCGGAAGAGGAAAGUGGAAUUCCUGGUGUAGCGGUGAAAUGCGCAGAUAUCAGGAAGAACACCAAUGGCGAAAGCAGACUUCUGGGA